GACGAACGCUGUCGGCGUGCUUAACACAUGCAAGUCGAGCGGAAAGGCCCUUCGGGGUACUCGAGCGGCGAACGGGUGAGUAACACGUGAGUAACCUGCCCCAGACUUUGGGAUAACCCUCGGAAACGGGGGCUAAUACCGGAUACGACACAGCUUCGCAUGGGGUCUGUGUGGAAAGUUUUUCGGUUUGGGAUGGGCUCGCGGCCUAUCAGCUUGUUGGUGGGGUGAUGGCCUACCAAGGCGACGACGGGUAGCCGGCCUGAGAGGGCGACCGGCCACACUGGGACUGAGACACGGCCCAGACUCCUACGGGAGGCAGCAGUGGGGAAUAUUGCACAAUGGGCGGAAGCCUGAUGCAGCGACGCCGCGUGAGGGAUGACGGCCUUCGGGUUGUAAACCUCUUUCAGCAGGGACGAAGCGUAAGUGACGGUACCUGCAGAAGAAGCGCCGGCCAACUACGUG
rnacentral:rRNA from 1 species